CGGGAGGAAGACCGGAGGAACUGGCGGGGGACGGGGGAGUGCUCGGGACCGGACCCGGUACUUACCUCGUCCCUGAAGAUCCGGAUCCAGACGAUGAAGAUGGCGGCGGCGGCGACAGGCACCGGACCUACCUGCAGUGCCGACUUACUCUUUCAUAUUACGCCAAGACCAAACCAGUAGGCCACAAACCGAGAAACUGCCAUCAAGAAAGUGUUCGCUGCUUAGUGUCUCCUGUAUGUAAACUCCAAUGACUUUGACUGUUAGAUGACCUUGUGGAAGCA